GGGUUGUGAGGUUAAGCGACUAAGCGUACACGGUGGAUGCCCUGGCAGUCAGAGGCGAUGAAGGRCGUGCUAAUCUGCGAUAAGCGCCGGUAAGGUGAUAUGAACCGUUAUAACCGGCGAUWYCCGAAUGGGGAAACCCAGUGUGAYUCGUCACACUAUCAUUAACUGAAUCCAUAGGUUAAUGAGGCGAACCGGGGGAACUGAAACAUCUAAGUACCCCGAGGAAAAGAAAUCAACCGAGAUUCCCCCAGUAGCGGCGAGCGAACGGGGAGGAGCCCAGAGCCUGAAUCAGCAUGUGUGUUAGUGGAAGCGUCUGGAAAGGCGCGCGAUACAGGGUGACAGCCCCGUACACAAAAGCGCAUGUGCUGUGAGCUCGAUGAGUAGGGCGGGACACGUGGUAUCCUGUCUGAAUAUGGGGGGACCAUCCUCCAAGGCUAAAUACUCCUGACUGACCGAUAGUGAACCAGUACCGUGAGGGAAAGGCGAAAAGAACCCCGGCGAGGGGAGUGAAAAAGAACCUGAAACCGUGUACGUACAAGCAGUGGGAGC
rnacentral:rRNA from 1 species